rnacentral:rRNA from 1 species
UACGAAGGGGGCGAGCGUUGUUCGGAUUUACUGGGCGUAAAGGGCGCGCAGGCGGCUCUGCAAGUCAGAUGUGAAAGCCCCGGGCUUAACCUGGGAACUGCAUUUGGGACUGUGGGGCUAGAGUAUGGCAGGGGAGACUGGAAUUCCUGGUGUAGCGGUGAAAUGCGCAGAUAUCAGGAGGAACACCUGCGGUGUAGACGGCUUUCUGGACCAUUGCUGACGCUGAGACACGAAAGCGUGGGUAGCAAACAGG